rnacentral:rRNA from 1 species
UCAAAGAUUAAGCCAUGCAUGUCCAAGUAUAAGCAAUUAUACAGUGAAACUGCGAAUGGCUCAUUAAAUCAGUUAUCGUUUAUUUGAUAGUACCUUACUACAUGGAUAUCCGUGGUAAUUCUAGAGCUAAUACAUGCGAAAGUCUGCGCAAGCGGAUGUAUUUAUUAGAUAAAAAACCAACCCCCUCGGGGCUCUUGGUGAUUCAUGAUAACUCAACGAAUCGCAUGGCCUUGUGCCGGCGAUGGUUCAUUCAAAUUUCUGCCCCAUCAACUUUCGAUGGUAGGAUAGUGGCCUACCAUGGUUUCAACGGGUAACGGGGAAUUAGGGUUCGACUCCGGAGAGGGAGCCUGAGAAACGGCUACCACAUCCAAGGAAGGCAGCAGGCGCGCAAAUUACCCAAUCCCGACACGGGGAGGUAGUGACAAUAAAUACUGAUGCGGGGCUCUUUUGGGUCUUGCAAUUGGAAUGAGUACAAUCUAAAGCCCAUAACGAGGAACAAUUGGAGGGCAAGUCUGGUGCCAGCAGCCGCGGUAAUUCCAGCUCCAAAAGCGUAUAUUAAAGUUGUUGCAGUUAUAAAGCUCGUAGUUGUACUGUGGGCCUGACCGCUGGGAUGUCUCAACGAGCGUGUACCAGUUGGUCGGGCCUUCCAUCUGGGGAGACAUGCGACACUUUACUGGGUCGGAUGGGUAACCAGACGAUUUUACUUUGAGAAAAUUAGAGUGUUCAAAGCAGGCUUGUGCUCGAAUACAUUAGCAUGGAAUAAUGGAACAGGACGUGCGUCGGUAUUCCGUUGGUUUCUACAGACGCCGUAAUGAUUAAUAGGGUCAGUCGGGGGCAUCAGUACUCAAUGGCUAGAGGUGAAAUUCUUGGAUCCAUUGGGGACUAACUAAUGCGAAAGCAUUUGUCAAGGAUGUUUUCAUUAAUCAGUGAACGAAAGUUGGGGGAUCGAAGACGAUCAGAUACCGUCCUAGUCUCAACCGUAAAUUAUGCCGACUUGGGAUCGGACGAAAGUUGUACUAUUCAGUGACUCGUCAGGCACCAUGUGGGAAACUAAAGUAUGUGGGUUCUGGGGGGAGUAUGGUCGCAAGGCUGAAACUUAAAGAAAUUGACGGAAGGGCACCACCAGGCGUGGAUCCUGCGGCUUAAUUUGACUCAACACGGGGAAACUCACCAGGUCCAGACAAACUGUAGGAUUGACAGAUUAAUGGAACUUUCUUGAUUAUUUGGGUGGUGGUGCAUGGCCGUUCUUAGUUCGUGGACUGAUCUGUCUGCUCAAUUGCGCCAACGAACGAGACCCUUUCUUGCUCAAUAGCGGACUAGCUUUUGCUGGUUGCCGGCUACUCAGAAGAACUGUCGAGCGAUGUUUUCAUCAGAAGCUCACGGUAGCUUUUGGCAAUGACAGGUCUGUGAUGCCCUUAGAUGUCCUGGGCCGCACGCGCGAUACACUGACUGGAACAACGAGUUUACAACCUGCCUCGAGAGUUGUGGGUAAUCUUGAAUUCCUGUCGUGCUGGGGAUAGAGCAUUGCAAUUAUCGCUCUUCAACGAGGAAUGUCUAGUAAGCGUGUGUCAUCAACAUGCGUUGAAUUUGUCCCUGCUCUUUGUACACACCGCCCGUCGCUACUACCGAUCGAAUGGUUCAGUGAAGCUUUUGGACUGGUGCUUUGCCUGUUGGCAACGACAGCUUUGCGCUGGAAAAUUAGUUAAACUCGAUCAUUUAGAGGAAGUAAAAGUCGUAACAAGGUUUCCGUAGGUGAACCUGCGGAAGGAUCAUUACAGAGAAGAGGCGCCGCGAGGCGUCGAUCUCCCACCCUUUGUGUAUUUUUGAAUGUUGCUUCGGCGGGCCGCUGGGGGACGGAGAGACGGCCCCUGCCACCUGGCUGUUGGGCUGGUGAGCGCGCGCCGAAGGCCGAGGUUACUCUGUUUUGCAAGGUGGUCUGAAAGCACGCAACUUCUCAAAACUUUCAACAACGGAUCUCUUGGUUCUGGCAACGAUGAAGAACACAGCCAAAUGUGAUAAGCAAUGCGAAUCGCACUCAGUGAAUCAUCGGAUUUUUGAACGCACAUUGCACCUGUCUUCGGACAGGUACGCCUGUCUGAGCGUCGUCACAACAUUCAAGCUUGGCUUGCAGUGGGCAAUGCGGACGCGAGUCGGCAGGCCUGAAACGCAAUGGCGCCGGUAGAUCACCUCGAGCAUGGUUAAAGUCUUGCAGCGAGGAGGGUAUGCAGGCGGCCUCAACAGGUGACCUAGUUCGACCUCAGAUCAGGUGGG